rnacentral:rRNA from 1 species
GAGAGCGUGCCUUUUGUAGAAUGAACCGGCGAGUUACGUUAUGAUGCGAGGUUAAGUUGAAGAGACGGAGCCGUAGGGAAACCGAGUCUGAAUAGGGCGACUUAGUAUCAUGAUGUAGACCCGAAACCUAGUGACCUAUCCAUGAGCAGGGUGAAGGUGUGGUAAGACGCACUGGAGGCCCGAACCAGGACACGUUGAAAAGUGUUUGGAUGACUUGUGGAUAGCGGAGAAAUUCCAAACGAACUGGGAGAUAGCUGGUUCUCUCCGAAAUAGCUUUAGGGCUAGCGUCGAAAUGUAAGUGUAUUGGAGGUAGAGCACUGUUUGGGUGAGGGGUCCGUCUAGGAUUACCAAUCUCAGAUAAACUCCGAAUGCUAAUACACAUGUUCGGCAGUCAGACUGCGAGUGCUAAGAUCCGUAGUCGAAAGGGAAACAGCCCAGACCAACAGCUAAGGUCCCAAAAUAUAUGUUAAGUGGAAAAGGAUGUGGGGUUGCACAGACAACUAGGAUGUUAGCUCAGAAGCAGCUAUCAUUCAAAGAGUGCGUAAUAGCUCACUAGUCGAGUGACCCUGCGCCGAAAAUGUACCGGGGCUAAACAUAUUACCGAAGCUUUGGAUUGAUAUUUUAUCAAUGGUAGGAGAGCGUUCUUAACCGCGAUGAAGGUAUACCGUGAGGAGUGCUGGAGCGUUAAGAAGUGAGAAUGCCGGUAUGAGUAGCGCAAGAUAAGUGAGAAUCUUAUCCACCGUAAGACUAAGGUUUCCAGGGGAAGGCUCGUCCGCCCUGGGUUAGUCGGGACCUAAGGCGAGGCCGAAAGGCGUAGUCGAUGGACAACUGGUUGAUAUUCCAGUACUAGAUAUGAUCGUGAUGGAGGGACGCAGUAGGCUAAGAGAUGCCAGUUAAUGGAUUCUGGUCUAAGCAGUGAGGUGUGAGAUGUGUCAAAUGCAUUUCUCUCUAACAUUGAGCUGUGAUGGGGAAGCAACUACGGUUGCGAACUCUCUGAUGUCACACUGCCAAGAAAAGCUUCUAGCGUAAAGUCAUAUCUACCCGUACCGCAAACCGACACAGGUAGUCGAGGCGAGUAGCCUCAGGUGAUCGAGAGAACUCUCGUUAAGGAACUCGGCAAAAUAGCCCCGUAACUUCGGGAGAAGGGGUGCUGGUGUAAAAGCCAGCCGCAGUGAAUAGGCCCAAGCAACUGUUUAUCAAAAACACAGCUCUCUGCUAAACCGCAAGGUGAUGUAUAGGGGGUGACGCCUGCCCGGUGCUGGAAGGUUAAGAGGAGUGCUUAGACGUAAGUCGAAGGUAUGAAUUGAAGCCCCAGUAAACGGCGGCCGUAACUAUAACGGUCCUAAGGUAGCGAAAUUCCUUGUCGGGUAAGUUCCGACCCGCACGAAAG